GACGAACGCUGGCGGCGUGCUUAACACAUGCAAGUCGAACGGAAAGGCCCUGCUUUUGUGGGGUGCUCGAGUGGCGAACGGGUGAGUAACACGUGAGUAACCUGCCCUUGACUUUGGGAUAACUUCAGGAAACUGGGGCUAAUACCGGAUAGGAGCUCCUGCUGCAUGGUGGGGGUUGGAAAGUUUCGGCGGUUGGGGAUGGACUCGCGGCUUAUCAGCUUGUUGGUGGGGUAGUGGCUUACCAAGGCUUUGACGGGUAGCCGGCCUGAGAGGGUGACCGGCCACAUUGGGACUGAGAUACGGCCCAGACUCCUACGGGAGGCAGCAGUGGGGAAUAUUGCACAAUGGGCGGAAGCCUGAUGCAGCAACGCCGCGUGCGGGAUGACGGCCUUCGGGUUGUAAACCGCUUUCGCCUGUGACGAAGCGUGAGUGACGGUAAUGGGUAAAGAAGCACCGGCUAACUACGUGCCAGCAGCCGCGGUGAUACGUAGGGUGCGAGCGUUGUCCGGAUUUAUUGGGCGUAAAGGGCUCGUAGGUGGUUGAUCGCGUCGGAAGUGUAAUCUUGGGGCUUAACCCUGAGCGUGCUUUCGAUACGGGUUGACUUGAGGAAGGUAGGGGAGAAUGGAAUUCCUGGUGGAGCGGUGGAAUGCGCAGAUAUCAGGAGGAACACCAGUGGCGAAGGCGGUUCUCUGGGCCUUUCCUGACGCUGAGGAGCGAAAGCGUGGGGAGCGAACAGGCUUAGAUACCCUGGUAGUCCACGCUGUAAACGGUGGGUACUAGGUGUGGGGUCCAUUCCACGGGUUCCGUGCCGUAGCUAACGCUUUAAGUACCCCGCCUGGGGAGUACGGCCGCAAGGCUAAAACUCAAAGGAAUUGACGGGGCCCCGCACAAGCGGCGGAGCAUGCGGAUUAAUUCGAUGCAACGCGUAGAACCUUACCUGGGUUUGACAUGGAUCGGGAGUGCUCAGAGAUGGGUGUGCCUCUUUUGGGGUCGGUUCACAGGUGGUGCAUGGCUGUCGUCAGCUCGUGUCGUGAGAUGUUGGGUUAAGUCCCGCAACGAGCGCAACCCUUGUUCACUGUUGCCAGCACGUUAUGGUGGGGACUCAGUGGAGACCGCCGGGGUCAACUCGGAGGAAGGUGGGGAUGACGUCAAGUCAUCAUGCCCCUUAUGUCCAGGGCUUCACGCAUGCUACAAUGGCUGGUACAGAGAGUGGCGAGCCUGUGAGGGUGAGCGAAUCUCGGAAAGCCGGUCUCAGUUCGGAUUGGGGUCUGCAACUCGACCUCAUGAAGUCCGAGUCGCUAGUAAUCGCAAAUCAGCAACGCUGCGGUGAAUUCGUUCCCGGG
rnacentral:rRNA from 1 species